GACGAACGCUGGCGGCGUGCUUAACACAUGCAAGUCGAACGGAAAGGCCCUGCUUUUGUGGGGUGCUCGAGUGGCGAACGGGUGAGUAACACGUGAGUAACCUGCCCUUGACUUUGGGAUAACUUCAGGAAACUGGGGCUAAUACCGGAUAGGAGCUCCUGCUGCAUGGUGGGGGUUGGAAAGUUUCGGCGGUUGGGGCUGGACUCGCGGCUUAUCAGCUUGUUGGUGGGGUAGUGGCUUACCAAGGCUUUGACGGGUAGCCGGCCUGAGAGGGUGACCGGCCACAUUGGUCCUGAGGUACGGCCCAGACUCCUACGGGGGGCAGCAGUGGGGAAUCUUGCACAAUGGGCGGAAGCCUGAUGCAGCAACGCCGCGUUCGGGAUGACGGCCUUCGGGUUGUAAACCGCUUUCGCCUGUGACGAAGCGUGAGUGACGGUAAUGGGUAAAGAAGCACCGGCUAACUACGUG
rnacentral:rRNA from 1 species